GACGGAGGGGGCUAGCGUUGUUCGGAAUUACUGGGCGUAAAGCGCACGUAGGCGGCUCUUCAAGUUAGGCGUGAAAGCCCCGGGCUCAACCCGGGAAUUGCGCUUAAUACUGUUGAGCUUGAGACCGGGAGAGGAUAGCGGAAUUCCCAGUGUAGAGGUGAAAUUCGUAGAUAUUGGGAAGAACACCAGUGGCGAAGGCGGCUAUCUGGACCGGUACUGACGCUGAGGUGCGAAAGCGUGGGGAGCAAACAGG
rnacentral:rRNA from 1 species